rnacentral:rRNA from 1 species
UACGGAGGGUGCAAGCGUUAUUCGGAAUUAUUGGGCGUAAAGGGCGCGUAGGCGGUUUGGUAAGUCACGUGUGAAAUCCCGGGGCUCAACCCCGGAAGUGCACGUGAUACUACUGGACUUGAGUAUGGGAGAGGGAAGUGGAAUUCCUGGUGUAGCGGUGAAAUGCGUAGAUAUCAGGAGGAACACCGGUGGCGAAGGCGACUUCCUGGACCAAUACUGACGCUGAGGCGCGAAGGCGUGGGGAGCAAACAGG